rnacentral:lncRNA from 1 species
GUGGAGCCACUGGAUUAGGUUUAGGACCUUCUUUGGUCUUUUCGGGCUCUUUGGGCUUGGGCUUUUCCGGUACUUUCUGUUUUUCGGGCUCCUUGGGCUUUUCAAUGAUAACAACAGUAGGCUUCUCAGGUUGUUUAGGCUUCUCAGGCUCCUUGGGCUUUUCAAUGAUGACAACCGUAGGCUUCUCAGGUUGUUUAGGCUUUUCGGGCUCUGGCUGUUUGGGCUUUUCAGGAGCUUUGGGCUUUGGAGGCUCUUUGAUUUCAAUGCUCUUAAUUACUCCACAUCCUUUACAACACAAUUUGUCACGAAAUCUCUCAGGAUCGCAGCAUACCACAGUGAUUGUCACUGUAUUAGCCUUCUNNNNNNNNNNNNNNNNNNNNNNNNNUAUACGUAUACUAUACAAUAUAAUAUAUAUAUAUAUAUAUAUAUAUAUAUAUAUAUAUAUAUAUAUAUAUAUAUAUAUUCCCCAUCAUAGUAUUCCAUGAUUGAUUUUGUCCAUCUACUUUGAAAUAGAAUUUCAAGAAAACAUAAAGAAAAAAAGCGGAUAACUAUAGUUUACUUAGAGAAUUCAAGUAAAAGAGACAUACGAGGGAAUUUACAGAGAACUUUUUUGACCUUCUUAUAGCAGCAGGAGCACUGAAGAUCAACCUUGAGCACCAUUAUAGUGGUCUGUUAAACGAUUAGUUAGUAUGAUGGGGUUAUUUGUCAAGUAAUUAAUUAAGCACAAUAUCACAGCUCUUACAGUUAUAAAAAAGAUUAAUUCACUGAACCAUAUUAUGCAAUAAUAAUGCAAUAAUAAGCUAGUUUAUUGUUGUUCAGAAAUCGUGAUGAAGAAGUAUAGAUCACUUUAGACGGAAAUAUAGAUAGAAGGAAAAAGAGUUGUGGAAGAUCAUACCUUUUCAGUUUUGUCACCACCCAUGAUUGAUCUGAACUUACAGAAAAUGGAAUUCUUUGUGCUGAGGAGGAAAACAGUAUAUUUUUCUCGUAUGAAAGGAAGAUGAGGAGAAAUGUCUUAUGAAGAAGAAAUGUAGUACUAGUAAGUAAUAAAAUAGUAGAAGGAAUAGAGUAGGAACACGUCAUGGAAGUUGAAAGAAAUGAUAUCAUCAAAAUUGGCAGCCACUAGAAUUUGGUGGGGGGACCUAAGAUUACUGACUAUAUACUCUCCAUUUGCAUAUGCUGGCUUUGAUAGUCACAUCUCACCUUCCCUUAGUUACCAAGCAAAUACUUAUUUAACAGGGAAUACAGAGUUAACUCGUACCACAUGGUAACUAUAUAUAUAGUUUGUCAACAAAAAAGUGGAUCAGAAAAUUUCUCCUCCAGAUUAUAGUCUAUAGAUGGAAAGAAGAAAAGAUAAUAAUAAGACUGAGUAAUCAAAUAAAUUUAGAUGGGAAAGAAGAAACUACAAAUAAAAAGUGUAAAUUAAUAAUCAUGGCGGCUGAACAAGGCAACUAAAUGGCUUGGCCCCCAACUUUUUGGGGUCCCCCUUUUAUUUUAAAAGUUGUAUGUUAUAUAUUAUUAAAAACAAAUCAUCCAUAUAGUGUUGGAAGGGAGAAAUUAAAUUUUAUUUUUAUUUUAUGCGGGGACAGUUGGUGUCUAAUUUCUUGACUAAUUAUAUUCAUGAAAGUCGAUGGAAAUAAUUAGGCAACCUUCGAGGGAGAGACAAGGAAACAAAAACAAAAGAGGAGAGGGACGAGCAAGGUGCGAGAUCCCGCCAUAGCCGUAACAAGUGAGGGACUCACUUACGAGCCACCCCCACAACAGGUUGGCCAUGGCGAAGAUUGUGAGGGUACCAUGUAACAUUGGUUCACAUUAUUAUUCUUAUAUUUUUGUCUUUUUUAUUGACUCUUUCAUUUAUUCUUACUCUCUCCUUAUUAACUAUUCCUAUAUUUUUUUUUUACAAAAUUUAUCGUUGUGUGCUCACAAAAGAUCAAAGUUUGCUUUUCGGUGUCCUCUUCAAAAUUCCAAGCAUUACAACAAGACAAAAACAAUCGUUAUUUUGAAGAAAUACAAUACUAUUUCGAUACCGUGAUAUCAACCUAUCAAAUUUUUUAACCAGAUUUUAUUAUUCUAAUUUUAUAUUAUAUUUUUUCAUUGAAAAUCUGUCAUUAUUGAUAUUCUUACUUCCUAAGUAUAUAUUCUUGUUUUAGUUAUUAUUAGAUUAUAUUCAAUUUAAAAUUUUCAACUAGAAAAUAUGAAUCCGGUUAUGCAAAAAGGGAAAAAAAUGUGAAGAAUUAAUUAAAUCCCAAAAGGGAGCCUUGGAUAGAUUUUUAACAAAUAAUAAAUAUCUUGAAUGAGAAAAUAUGGAAGGAUGUUCUUCAAAUGAACAAGUCACUCAUAGAGUUGAGUUAGAUGAAGUUACUACGAAAUUUGACAUAGUUCCAGAAAAUCAAGAAUUCUUAAAUGAUUUGAAUAACUGUAUCUCUAAAAAUAUAUACGAUCCAAGUCAACGGAAUAUGGUAGAUACAAAGUUGAGAGAUCUAUUAGCUAUAUUAUCAAUUGAAAUUGAAUUAUGAGAACAAAUCGAUUAUAAGAUAAUAAUUAAUGAUUUUGUAUCUAAACGCUGGAAAAAUAGUUUUAAAUUAAAUAUAUAUGACGUUUUUAAAAAAAAAAAAUUAAGGCAAUAAAGUUUGGUUUAAUGCUCCAAUCUUGUUGAGCGGUCAUGUUAAUGAUAGGACAUUUCUUCAUAUCUUUUAAAAGUGCUAGUGGUCGCAAAAUAAAUACUUUACCCCCUUCAACUUGUACAAGAAUCUCUUUUACACCAACAAUGUAGCAAAGUUUUGUUUCACUUUUUGUGCUUUAAUUUCUAAUCUGUAUUUCUCUGUCUUAUCUCUAAUACAUUUGAAAUUAAGUCACAGAACCAACGAGAACGAGGGAGAAUAAAUAUAGCCAAAUUGAUAUUGAUGAUGUAGAAAGUCAAAGGUAUAACAUCACAAUUCACAAGUUUUAACUAAAUAAUGUGCAAAUCCUUUUAGGUGAAAGUUUAGUGCCGACGGUGGGUAUGGAAGGCUGGCAGUGAUGGGCCUAACUUAGUCAAUUAUAACCCUUUAAUUACUUGGAAUUUUGGAAACUGAGGAAAAGGAAGUUCUCAGCCGGUCGGUGCCGGGUCGGCCCCUAAAUCAAAGAGAAAAAGUAGAACGGGAAAAUGAAUGAGAAAUGAUUAAUCUGCAUUUGGUAAUUUUCCAUUCCUUCUUUUCCUCUAGCAGCAUAAACUCUACCAAUCAGACAGGGAAACGUUGAAAAGCAAUAACUAUGUGCGAAGUAGAGGGGUCAUUUUUUAAAUACCGUCAAUAUUUGGGACAUUCGACUAAGGCUAGCCCCUUACGGGGCUAUUUUUUUCAAUCUCCACACUUUUGCAGGGGAUCUUUACACAAAGGGUGAAUUUAAAAAAAUAGUCAUAUUUACAAGUGAUAAUUGAAAAAAAGCUAUAGUUUCAAAAGUAAUCGAAUUUUAGCCAAUUUUCAAGUAAAGAUAAAUCUGAAUGAAAACACUGUUCAGAAUCCGAAAAAUAUUUCAGCAUAAUAUGCUGGAAGUUCAUACACAGGUGCUCCAAACUCCAGUAUAUUAUGCUGGAACUUUCCGUGUGUUGGGAGUUCCAGCAUAAUAUGUUGGAAGUUCAUACACAGGUGCACCAAAUCUCAAAUAUAUUAUGCUGGAAUUUUCCGUGUUGCAGCAAAAUAGUGACUAGUUUUUCAAUUACUUUGCAAACAUUGGCUAUUUUUUAAUUACCAGUCCGAAAACUGGCUAGGUCGUGCUACUUUUACUUACACAAAUAGUCGUCCAUAUUUAAUGUUUACUUUUUUUGUCAUAUACAUAGUUUAUACAUUGAUUAUAUAUUAUUAUAUACAUAUAAUACAUAAAUUAUGCAUAUAUUAUACCUCUCUCGACUAUUUUUAGUUUAAGUGGUUGGGUUUAAUUAUUCCUUUCGCAGCAGCCAUGUGACUUGUGAGUAAAGCCCAUGACAUCCAGAUACGGUACCGCAUUGCCCAUAAUAGUGGAGAGACCCAAUACAGAGAAAGAUCAUCUGGUUUCUUGUAUUAGCAGAAAUCUUUUUGAACUAUAUUUGAAAUUACAUUCUCCUUUAGUUAUUAAAGUGCUUUGUUUAGUUUUGGUUUUUUUCUUUUCUGUAGAAAUAAUACUGAUAUGAGUUAUAUCACAAACAUCCCGUUACGUCUUCUUUUAUCAACUCUCAGUUUGUUCUUAAUGAUGCUUACAAUAUUGAUUUUGAAAUUAUAAGUAUCAUUUCAAUUCACUAUGUUUAUUUAUUACUAUUAAAUUUCUCUCUGCCUCUCUCUAUAUAUACACAUAUAAUGGCAAUAACUUUUAUCCAAUUUUAAGCAAAACACGUAUUUUUGUAUUGUAUAUCUAUUUUUAUUAUUAUUAAUGUAUAAACCAAUUAUAAUAUAACAUUUACAUAUCUCAAGUAUGAUACAAUAACCUACAAAGUAGAUUAUAUUAAUGGCAUAUUAUAGCCGGUUAAAUUACAUUCUUCAAUAGUAUGUAUAAUUUAAACCUAUCGCUAUAUGGUAUUAUAUGGAUUUUCAGUUCAUGGUAUGACUUACCUAAACUAAACUAAACCCGCAAAAGAAGCGAGAGCCAACAAGAAGCACUACUAAAAAAACAGUUGUUUACCGACGCAGCAGUAUCGAUAGACUUUUUUUCGACGUUAUUCCGAAGGAUUUUCCGACGGAGUCCCUCGGUACUUUUGAACUUUUUAAUUUCUAUUUUUUUAAAAAUAUAACCGACGGACAACUUUCGGUGUCUGUCGGUGCUUUUAAAAAAAAAUGAAAAAGAAAAUAAAGUUAUCGACGUACUCAAUCCUACUGCAUUUACAUAAUAUUUUGAAUUUUGUUCUUACAGUACCGAUGAACUUCCGUCGGUAACUUAAAUAUAUAAUCUUAUAGAUAAUUAUUUUGUAUUUUUUAUUACACAAUACCAAGGGAGGCCGUCGGUAAGUCCCUCAGUAAGUAUUUACUUAAUUAUCUUAGUGGUUGAUUAGCCUAUUUAUUAAAAUUUGCACUAAGUGAAGGUAAUACACUACUUAAAAUAUAUUGGUGGUAAUUAGCUUAGUAAUUUAUAAUUACACAAAGUAAAAGUGAUUUUGUAGUAUCCUUAACUACAUUGAUUAACCUAUACAUUAAUAAUUAAACACUAAGAAGAAGUGUAUUAGUCAUUUCCGUAAGAAAUAUUAGUGAUAGUUUAUCUUAUAAAUUGAUAAUUACUGUAAGUAGAAGUGUAUUAAUGGUGUCCUUAAGUAACGUUAACAAUUGAUUAUCAUACACAUUGAUAAUAUACUAUGCAAAAGUGUAUUAAUUGUAUUUAGCUUGUAUAUUGAUAAUUACACGAAGUAUAAGUGUAUUAAUAAUAUAUAUGUAAGUAAUGUUGCUGAUUGAUUAGCCUAUAUACAUUGAUAAUAACACUAAGUAUUAGUGAACUAGUGGCAUCCUUAUAUAAGUAACGCUAGUGAUUGAUUAGCCGAUACAUCGAUAAUUAUAUUGUCAUGAUCUAAAAUUCAACUAGUCGUGAUGACACCUAACCCAACCCGUUAGGUAAGCCAACUAAUCACUAUCCAAUUCCAACGUAAUUUAGCAAGACAAUUAUUAAAGAAAAUAUAUGAAACUAUUACAUUUCCCCAAGAAUGGGUAGUACAAAUCAUGAGCUUCUAAUAAUAGAGUAUACAAAGCUGGUAUGAAAUAAUACAUCAUCUAUUUGAAAAGUACAUAAACAGAGUUUGCAUGAAUCAGGCUACCAUGAAUAAGAGACAGCAACAACCGGAACGCAGGUACAACUUCAAAUCCGGUAACCAUCGAACACAACAACAACGACAACCAAUAUCUGCACGCAAUGUGCAGAAGUGUAGUAUCAGUACAACCGACCCCAUGUACUGAAUAAGUAACAAACGUAGCCUUAGGUUGAAAGUAGUGACGAGCUUGUACCAAGGUCAGAGUCCAACUUUCAUAACCAACAAUAGUUCAUAACAAUAUAAAAUAAGUAAUACCAGAAGUAACUCAAAGAAUAAAUGCUCAACUAAAUCGUGACUUCUAAAAAUAGUUCUGCCUUUCAAGUACAUCAGUGAAAACCCAAAUCGUUUACCGAAAUUAUAAAAAAUAUGAAUAAGUUUGAAUCGUUUACCGAAAUUAUCAAAAAUAUAAAUAAGUUUGAAAAUAGUAAUUUUUCCAAAAUCCUUUCAAUAAUAAAUAAAAUGUCUCAUUUUCUUUCGAGAUAACCAAUAUAAAACAAAUGUAUCACUAUGCCUAUCUGUCAAUAUUUGUGAGAAAUCAUGAAUAAUGUUAUAUCGUAGCAUGAGGAAAAUACAUCUCUAUGCAUGUAUGUCAUGUGUGCACGUCAAUGCAAUGUAUCUCAGAAAUUGUACUCAUGUAUUCACACUCUUAGAGUACUCAAUCUCACUGUCUCACAUUCUCUCUCACUAUGUUUAGUACACUCAAUCACUCAGCGCUAUAUAAUACAUGUUGUUGCGUACAACCUGAUCCCUGUUUAUAGUCGACUGUGCUCACUGGGGGUGUGUACAUACUCAUGAGGGGCUCCUACAACCCAAGCGCUAUAAGCACGGCCAACUCACGUGCUGCACGACCAACUCACGUGAUGCACGACCAACUCACGUGUUGCACGACCAACACACGUGCAAUAGUAUAAUAUAUGGAUCCGCACAGCCAACUCACGUACAAUAAUAUAAUAUAUAUAAAGCCAAUAUGAUGUGUUGUGGCGUGCAAGCCGAUCCCAGAAAAAAAUAUCUUCACAAUCAGGCCCCCGGCCUCCCUCAGUCAUCAAUCUCUCCGGUCUCUCUGUCAUAGGCACACAAUGUCAUGAGAAUAGCCCAAAAUGAUGAUAUGAUAUAUCAAUAAAUAACAAUAGAGACUGAGAUAUGAUAUGUAAUGAAAUGAAUAUGACUGAGUAUGAAUUUUCAAUUUAAAAUAAAUAAUUCAUAAUAAUAUGACCUAUGUGGUCCCAAUAAUACUGGCACAUAGCCUCAACAUGAUUUUCAAUAUGCUUUUCAGCUCAAUUUCUUUAACUCAUAAAACCGGAUGGAAAAUGCCAAGAUCAUUUAACUACAAAAUUUUACUGAAAUAAUUAUGUCACAAUUUCUAUAGUGCACGCUCACACACAUGUCACCUAGCAUGUGCGUCACCUCCCAGCAAUUCACGAAAUACAUAUAUUCAAGGUUCAUACCCUCAACUCCAAAAUUAGAAGAGUUACUUACUUCGAACAAGCCAAAUCCAAUGUCGAGCAAGCUAAGCAAUGCUCCAACAAUUCCACACUGUGCGUAUCAACUUUCAAACGGUUCGAAUCUAGUCACAAUUAAUUUGAUUCAGCCCACAAAAUUUAUAGGAUUAAUUCCAUAUCAAAAUACUAAUAUUUUCACAAAAUUCGAAAUUAUUCGCCAAAAAUUACUCGUGGGGACCACGUCUCGAAAUCCGACAAAACUCACAAAAUCCGACAACUCAUCCAAUUAUGAGUUCAACCAUACUAAUUUCACUCAAAUCCGACUCUGAAUCGGUGUUCAAAUCUCGAAAAUUCAUUUUAUAAAGUUUCUACAAUUUUUCUCAAAUUUCCACCUCAAAGUACUAAUCAGAUGAUGAAAUCAUUGAUAUAUUCAUGUAUAUUAACCAAAUUCGAGUUAGAAUCACUUACUACGAUGAAUUUCUUGACAAAACGAACGAAAAAAUACCACAAACCGAGCUCCCUAGAUCCAAAGUGUGAAAUAAUACCCUAAACCUUAGAUAUAUAGUACAUACUCUGAACUCCAAAUUCGCGGUCAGCGAAAUUCUAAGUGCGGCCGAGCCCCAUGUCCCGCGGUCGCGAAAAUAAUGGUGCGGCAGCGAAAUUCCUGGGGUUGCACUGCCAGGCUUUAGUAUUUUGGACAUAACGUUCUCUACAAAUGUACAAAUUAUGACUUAUUUAUCUUUUUUGGAAAUUAGACACGAAGGGCUACAUCUUUCGUUUUUGCAUCAUCUCAAAAUUCCUUAUAGAUCACAAGAUAUAGGCUUCUGAAGUUGUACCAACGAAUCUGCAGAACUUCCUGGAGCGCGGCCUCAGACAGAAUUAUGCGGUCCGCGAAUAUUUGAGCGCGGCCGCGAAAUUCUGCUGCUGUCCGCGUCCCUCCUUCGCCUCAGCGCCCAAAAAUGUGCGAUUCGCGUCCCCAAAAGUGCCAAAACAAUAUUAGAGUGCCGAAAUAUUCGGACUCGCUCAAAACUUAUCCCGAAACUCAUCCGGAACCUCCCAUAUACAAACCAUAUAUGAAUUUCAAUCAUAAAACAUGCUACGGACCUAUUUGCGCACUCAAAACACUGAAAAGAGGUCGCCUUGACCCGAUAUUGACCAUGACCAAACUCACUAAUUUCUUAACUUUAUUAAUCUCUCAACCAAUGAUCCAAAAAUACACUCAAGUCCCUCGGGAGCUCAACCAAAUAUACCAAUACAUUCCAUAACAUAACACGGAAUUACUCGAGGCCUCAAACCAUAUCAAAUAACAUCAAAACGACGAAUCGCACCUCAAAUCAAAAUCUAUGGACUUUGAACUUUCAAAUUCUAUAUCAUGUGCCGAAAUAUAUCAAAUCAAUCCGGAAUGACUUCAAAUUUUGCACACAAGUCAUAAAUGACAUAAUGAAACUAUUCAAUUUUACAGAAUCAUAUUUCGACCUCGAUAUCAAAAAGUCAACCCCCGGUCAAACUUCCCAAAAUUUAACUUUCGGCAUUUCAAGCUUAAUUCCACUACGGACUUCCAAAUAAUUUUUCUUACACGCUCCUAAGUUCAAAUCACCAUACGGAGCUAUUGCAACCAUCAGAAUUAAAUUUUGAGGUCUUUAACACAUAAGUCAAUAUCCGGUAAAUUAUUUCAACUUAAACUUUCAACCUAAAAAUUUAUUUUUCCAAGCUAACUCUGAAAUACCUUUAAACCAAAACCAAAAAUUCAUACAAGUGAUAAUACCUCGUAGGAAAUUAUUUAAGACUUCAAAUAGUUGAAAGGAGCGUAAAUGUUCAAAACGACCGGUCGGGUCGUUACAUAUACACUAAAUGGAAGUGUAUUAAUGCUAUUUGUGAGAAAUGUUUGUGAUUAUUUAAGUAAUAUUAGUGGUAUCCUGAAGUAACGCUAGUGAUUCAUUAGCCUAUACAUUGAUAAUUAUACUAAUUAAGUAGAAGUGUAUUAGUAUUGUCUUAAAAACUAUUACUGAUUGAUUAGCUUAUGCAUUAAGAAUUACACUAAGUAUAAGUGUAUUAGUAAUAUCAGUAAGAAAUAUUAGCGAUUGAUUAGCUUAUAAAUUAAUAAUUACAUAAAGUAGAUGCAUAUUAGUGGUAUGCUUAAGUAAUAUUAAUAAUUGAUUAGCCUAUCUAUUAGUAAUUAUACUGAUUAAGUAAAAGUUUAUCACUAAUAGUCUUAAGAACUAUUACUAAUUGAUUAGUUUAUACACUGAGAAUUACACUAAGCAGAAGUGUAUUUGCAAUAUCAGUAAGAAAUAUUAGCGAUUAAUUAGCUUAUAAAUUGAUAAUUAUAAAAAGUAGAUAUGUAUUAGUGAUAUCCUUAAGUAAUAUUAGUGAUUGAUUAGCUCAUAUAUUAAUAAUUAUACUAAUUAAGUAGAAGUAUAUUAAUAGUAUUCUUAAGAAUUAUUAUUGAUUGAUUAGCUUAUACAUUGAGAAUUACUCUAAGUAGGAAUGUAUUAGUAAUACAGGUAAGAAAAUUUAGUGAUAGAUUAGCCUAUACAUUGAAAAUUCUACUAAGUAGAAGUGUAUUAGCAGUAUUCUUAAGAAAUAUUACCCAUUGAUUAGUUUAUAAAAUGAUAACUACACUAAGUAGAAGUGUAUUAGUGAUAUCCUUAAGUAAUAUUAGUGAUUGAUUAGACAAUUACUUGAUACUUAACUACGUAAAAGUGGUUUAGUAGAAAUUAGCUUGUAAAUUAAUAAUUACAUUAGCUUAUGAUUUAUUUUAAAUUAUUAAUAGUAAUUUUAUUGUUAAUUAAUGCUAAAAGAUGAAUUACACUUUAUCAGGAUUAUUUAUAUUUCAUGGUCAAUUUCGUUGUUAAUUAAUGCUAAAAGAUGAAUUUCUUAAUAUAUGUUAAAACAUCUAAAAACUCAAUUAAAGUGGACGGGAAGGAAUAAUAAAAUAAUUGAUCACAUCUUGCUAAUUACUACAUUUGCUUGAAAAUAUUACAACUAUGGGCAUAAUAUUUUCAGAAACUUUAAUAUUACACAUAAAUUCCACUACACAGAAUUAAAGUAUUUGAUAAUUAAGAUAAUUGAGUGGUUUACCUCUUUCCUAACUGCGCCGUUUCAGCCUCUAACCUCACCUUCAUUACACUCUUUCUUGCCCCUAAAUUUCACAACACGUUUUCCUCUUUUUGCCGUUCUUCUUCUUUUACUGGGAGCUUGUCUUUGUUUAUAGUCUUUGUUCUUCUACUGGGAGCUUGUCGGAGUCAGAACCUCCGUUCAAGUCGGUGGUUUGGGAUGUAUUGAGGUGGUUAUCAGUUGUAGACGAAGGAGACUCGCGGCUGCGAAAGCGGUGGUUGGUGUUAGUGUGGCUUUUUUGUCCCCAUUUCAAUUGGGUAAAGAGAAAUAAUGCAGUGGACGUGACUUGACCGAUGCCGUUGCCAUUAUAAGAAUUGGGCAAAGAGCAAAACCCUACUAAGACCUUCAUGCAACUUUAUCUCGGUGAGUUUUUUUCUCUCCCAUUAUGAUUGAACGUGGUUGGAGGCGUGUACAAGGGUAGAGCAUACGACCUUUCCUUCGAGCACAAUUUUUAUCGCCUCGCGUGUGGACUGCAACGUAUAUACUUUCGCUUAGUGCGGAGAUUUGUCAGAUGUGGUUCUUGUAUGUUUGAAAAUUUUGAUUAUUCUUACUUAGUGAUAAUAAAAGGUAAUUUUUUAGUACUAGAAUCUUGACUGCAAUAAUAAUUUGUGUAUAACUAGCUUGAGUUUUUUAGAGUUUCUGCUUCUAUGUAUUAUCAUACACUAGGCUCUUGCAAAAUGUGGAUACUUGACCUUUCAAUAUUGAUAAUGUUUGCUGAUUUUCUUUCUGAAAUGGUAAUGGUUAUUUUUAUUUAUUAUGUAGAUAUCGCAGCAAAGGUACUUUCUUUAAUUCAGCAUAGUACAAAAUUUUGUGAUUUGUGGCAAAAACUGACUUGUAAGUAAAAACAAUGGGGACCUUUAGCUCUCAGAUUGAAGCUGAAGAUUAUCUUUGGUUUGCCAUUUGGUAAAUCCAUGCUAAUCUCAUCUCACGAUGAGAAAUAACUUUACGACUUCAUUAAUAGGAGGAAAAUGUGUCAUAAAUCACUUAUAGCAUCUAGGUAGACAUGUUGCAGGAUUAUCAGAUACAAUCAUUCAACUCUACUAUGUCAAAUUGUAACAGGUUGAAGAAAUUAUCAUGCACUUUUAAAAUUGUUCCUGAUGCAUAUGCACCUUCUAAAGAUAGAUAAUUGAUUUCAUUAUUGUUUCCCCCAACAGAAAGCAAUUUUUUGAACUGUCUCCUAUUUAUGAUGGUAAUGCCAGCUGUUUCUAAUUGGGAUACUUAUUUAAUCAUCUGCUAUUCGAAGACUCUGUUUGAUAGUGCAUUCUAUUAAUUUCAAUUAUCAGAAUGUUUAUAAGGAUGAAAGAAGUUAACUUUUUUCAAGUAUGGGAGGUGUAAGACAAGUGAGUCUGUUAGCUUAGAUAUCUUUAUGGUGAGUGAGGGUGAUUCAGGUGUUUAUAACUAGAGGUAUUUAUAGAGAAUGGCACGUGGAUAGUGAAUUGUGGUGGGACUGGUUAACUGUCCUUGUUAUAUUUUAGCAUAAAUUCAAUUUCUGUAUUUGGCUUUGUUGUAGCUUAUAUUGAUUUAAAACAUUUAUCCAAAGAAAAAAAAUUAUUUAUUAUGACUCAUAGAGGGAAGAGACAAAAGGAGUAGGCUUUUUUCUGAAAAGGGAGUAGAGCUCUAACAAAAUGAGUUUGUUAGUACUAUUUCUGAGCCUUUUUAGAAGAUUGAAUUCUAAGGACCCGUUUGGACAUAGAUUUUGCCAAAAUAAACUUGAGUUUUAUUUGGCAAACACAUAUUUGGCCAUAACUUUUGCCUAUAUUUUGACAAAAUUUCAUAUCCCAAAACCUGCUCAAUAGCUGGUUUUGGGCCAAAUCCCUAAUAAUACACAUAUUUUUUCAAAAUAAAUUUGGGAAAUAUAUUUUGAAAACGUAUGUCCAAACACAUUUUCAUCUUCAAGCCAAACUUCACCCAAAACAAUUUUUUCAAAACAAAUUUAAGAAUCUAUGACCAAACGCUAGCUAACACUUUAUUUUGAUGGUAGUUGGUAGGACAAAAAUAUUUUGCCCCAUACUUUCUUGAUUCCUAUCUACCAUAGUCGACUUAAAAAACCAAACCCCUAAUCAUUUCCUUUUUCUGUUCAUGUUUGUUUUGUCUUUAGCUCCAAUUCACUAUCCAUUUUGAAAUAACCCUAAUGAACAUUUAGUGGUGAAAUCAAACAUUGAUCUUGUCUAUGCCAAACAAUAGUGAUAUCAUCAAUGAUUCAAUGGGUGCAGAAUUAUUCUAUUCUAACUCUUCGUGUAUAUUUUUCACUUUUCUUUUGUGAAUUACAAGGUAUUGGGACAUCCGCCACCGUACAAAAUGAGGACCUUAAGGAGAUGCGGCGAAUGAUUCAACAACUUUCUAGAAACUAUGCAGGUGAACGAGAAAAAAAAAAGCAUGAAGAGAAGAUUAGAGACGCACUUAGGAAUGACAUCGACUCCCUUAAGGCUCAAGUGAACCACUUAAUCGGCCUGCUCCAUUCUCCGCCAAAAAAGCCACAUUUAUGAAGAGGAUGAAAGUGAUGGAAAUAAUAUAAAUGAUGAAGAAGAUGAGAGGGAAUCCGAAGAAUGAGUGAUUUUAUGUUUGGUUGGAUUGUUGUUUAGUUGGAUGUUAAUUUUGAAUGUUACAUUUUGAAGUUUGGUCGGAUAGUUUUGAUGUUUGAUGGGAUAAUUUGGAUGUUUGGAUAAUUUAUAAAGUUUUGUUGUUGUUAAGUUGAGUUUCAUUGUGGUUGCAUUUCUGUUUCUAUUGUAAAAUUCUGGCUGGCAGGUGGUGCAACAAAAAAUAGGCACUCCCUGCCAAAAAUAUACCAGAUUUACCGAGGGACUUACCGACCGAGUUCGAUGGAACACUUAUUCAUUUUCAAUCCAUAAUUCUUAAUUAGCGAGGGAGUCCGUCAGUAGACGUGAACCAAAUUUUCAAAUUUUGUUGAACAUACCGACGGAUAUCCAUCGGAAUAUGAAUUUAUUCAUAUUUUUAAUUUUUGAAUUACUAAAUUAAAAUUCUAAAUUUACCGAUGGUAUCCGUCGGUAAUAUUAAAUUAUUAUUUUUAAUUUACCGACAGAUAUCCGUCGGUAUUGAUAUUAUUAAUAUUAUAUUAUUUUAUAAUAUAUCGCCGGAUAUCCGUCGGUAAGUAAAAUUAUUUGACCAACUAUUGUCAGAAAUGUACCGAUGACUUAACGAUGGGAUCCAUUGGUAUUUAUCGAUAGAUUCUGUCGGUUUAUUUGACCGAGGAAGGUUUUACCUACCUACCACUUACCGACGGACUUCCUUCGAUACAAUCUUGUUACCGAGAGACGUCCGUCGGUGAUUUGCGUCGGUAAAUAAGUAAUUUUUAGUAGUGAAGUAAAAGGAUAAUAAAAGGAGUCUCAUGUACGUACAACCGAACCUAAUGAGAUUUAUAUGCUGAAAUCUCUUAAGCAUAGAAGUGUAUAAUAUAUAGUAGAGAGUUUUUUCCUAUACAAAUGCUUUCCCUGCUAUUUAUAGAGAGGAGUAUAUAUAAUUGACUUCAACUUGAAUUUUGUAUCAUUUAACAUGUUUAAAUAUUUAGGUAUAUACGUAGUACACCCAUCGUUCUGUCUCAAUUAAAUUAUGUUAUGAAAUUUGAUGUGACAUAUGUUUAAAUGAUCAUUCCAACUCUAUUGAGAUGAGGCAAUUCAUCUCUUUACUGUCGAUUCUCUCAUUUUGUAGCAAAAGAAAAACCAAAAGGAAUUAGAGGAACACUAUAGUCCAUAAGUGUGAGUAAUGUAAUGAUAGUGGAGGCGUCAACUUGUAAACAAGAAGACAGAUUCAUAAAUCAAUCAUCUUCAAAAACUCUUUUCAUUAUAACAAAGACCAGUUAUGACGAGGAGAUAACAUUUUAUCACCACACAUGUCACUUCAUAAAUGGCCAUUGGGCUGACUCAAAUGGAACCUUUUGACUACUAAGAUAUGUUUUUGGACUUAUGUCAAAUGGAUUCAAAACAUAAUAUAUAGAAGUAAAAAUAUAUUUUGCCUUAUAUAUGCAUUGUAAUUUUUUGGCGAAAGAGGUUUAAAAUAAAUAAAAAAGUUUAUAUUAUACAAAUAGCGUAAAAAUAAUUUUUUUGAUUUUUCAUAAGAAAAAGUCUAGUAAAAUGACAACGAAUCCAAAAAUAACCGUCAUAGGAUCAAAUCUUAUACAUGUGAUCUUUAUUAUUUUUUAAAAAUCGUUUGUAUAAAGUUCUAACUUCGCCAUUAUUAGACUUAUAGUGGAUCAUUGCGAAUGAAACACAAGAAAUGUUUAUAGGAUUAAUAUUCAUUUCCUCAUGUUUCCAUGUCCAUUCACCCUUCUCUAGCUUUGAAGAUCCUCCUCUAAUUAAUUGAUAUGUACAACCCAAUAUUGUGCUAGGAUUUUCAGUUUCCCCGUUUUCAACUUUCUUUUUCUUUUUCUCUUCUAUUCUUUUCAGUUAUUAAUUCUCAUAUAUAGGGAAUUGGAAGAGGGGACCUUUGGAAAAUGCAUUGGCUCCAUUCACCUAAUAAUUCAGAGAUUUUAUAUAUCUUUCUAUACAUACAAAAAGUAAUCUUCCUUUUGACAUAUCUGAAGUGUACGAAUUUUCUUGGCCGUUUUGGGUUCUCUCAAUAUUCUUUUGCAAUUAUUAUGGUAUAACCUGCACUUUGGAAUUGGCUGUUUGGAUAUUAUAGGAAUUGAAGAACAAAAUAUCAAAGACAAAUAUUUCAAGACUUUAAAUUAUUGAAGACAAAUUGUUAAUGCAUCCACUAUUUGUUUUGACAAUUGUUGUAAGUUAAUUAAUAUAUGUAUUCUUAAAAAGAAUUUAGCCACCAAACAAUACCUUUAAUUUAGGAGACAUGUAAAAAUUCUAAAGUUCAUUAACAAUUUCUUAUCAGCUCGCUCUAUCAGAAAAUUGCUUAUUUUUUAUUUUACAAUUAUUAGUUUUCCUAAAACAAAAAGACUCUACACAUUCUCCCAACGGCCUUUUGUAUUAUAUAACUCUCCAAAUCCACAAAUAUGGUUUUGCUUAUUUAAAAUCUUUAGUUCUUCAAUUUAAAUGGUCAUAUAUGUCAAAUAAAUUACAACUUUAAUUUUUAGAUGGAGUCAUGGAGAGAGUUCAAUAAUUAAAAUUUUCCUUUUUAUAUCAAUAAUUAAAAUUUUCCUUUUUAUAUCAAUAAUUAAAAUUUUCCUUUUAAAUUACAACUUUAAUUUUUAGAUGGAGUCAUGGAGAGAGUUCAAUAAUUAAAAUUUUCCUUUUUAUAUCCAUUCAAAACAAAGAUCAGAUAGGGGAAAAAACAAGUAAAUUAAAACAGUGACUAUAAUAAAAUGGGAGAUAAAAGGAAGAGGUUUUAGCCAAAAUUGUCCCUUAUGUUUGGGGUAAGUUUAACUUUGUCUUUUAUCUAUUGUCCUGAGCACUUAUUGUCUUUAAAGUUUGCUAAACUUGAGCAGUUUUAGUCCACUUAAGAGUUUUUAGACAAAAUUGUCCCUUACAUUUGGAGGUAAGUCUAAUUUUGUCCUUUAUCUAUUGCCCUGAGCACUUAUUGUCCUUCAAGUUUGCUAAACUUGAGCAGAUUUAGUCCACUUAAUAAAAGAUCCAAACUGGUGGGUAAAAAAACUUUCAGUACUCAAGUUUUGCAGAACCGAUGUAAAGAACCUAAACCUGUUUAACGGGCCAGGUUGACCCGGUUCCUGACCGGUCUAGACCGGUAGUAAAUCAGACUGGCCUGGACUGGUGAAGGGGGCCGGGUAGGGCUGGAUUUGGGGUUUAGUCCGUAUAUUUUUUUUACUGGUUAACCGGACCGGUCAAUAAAAAUUAUUGUUGAACCGGUUAACCGCCCCGACCCGGUUGAGAAAAAUAGUGACCGAUCGUCACUAAUCCUGGUCGGUUGCCAAGUUUUUAAAAUCGAGCUUAACUAGUCUGGGCUCAUCCGAUGAAAAAUUGAACUGGAACGGUUCCGAGCCUAAGGGCCCCGACCCGACCCACCCCUUUAUCACCUUUAAGAUUGUAGAAACAAGUGUGAUAAUUUUUUUAAAAAUAAUUAAGAAAAUAGUCGUUGAACCGGGUCGGUCCGGUCUAGUUAACCGGUUCAAAAGUAACUUUCAUUGACCAGGUUUGACCGAUCCGGUUAACCGGUAAAACAGUAUAUACGGACCAAUCCCCUAAUCCCCCAAACCCAACCCUACCCGGCUCCCUUUCACCGGGCCGGUCCGAAACCGGGUCAACCUGACCCGUUAAAUAGGUUUAGGUUCACUAUAUCGGUUCUGCAAAAUUUGAGCAUCAAAAGUUUCUUUACCUAGUUGACUCAGUGAAAUCACUGUUAGUUUUUUGAUCUCCCUUUGGGUCUUUUGUUAGUGGACUAAACCUGCUCAAGUUUAACAAACUUAAAGGACAAUAAGUGCUCAGGGUAAUAGAUAAAGGAUAAAGUUAGAUUUACCCCAAAAAUAAGGGACAAUUUUGACUAAAAACUAAUAAAAGUAAACAGUAACGUAAAUGACCGAUAGUAGACAACUUGGACAAAUAAUAGAUGCUGACUCAGCAAAUGGACCACUAAUGCAAUUUCAAAAAUUCCAGGUCAGAUUUGCAAUGUCACCAUUCAUUGGGCCUCUGUCCACCUCUACUUAAAUGUGCUUUCUUCUCAUUUUGCCCAACCAAAAGCAGUAAAACAACAAUAGAGACUAAAAUAGAGAGGUUUUUCAUUUGCAGAGUUUCAAAUUCAUUGAAAAUCAGCAUUGUUUAAAGAGCUGCAUUAAUAUGGGUGAGGUAAUUAAGUUUAACCUCUUUAUAUUAACACUAUUUAUAUUUAUAACAUUAUAUAUCAAUGUAGGUACUCUAGCUAUGUUUUUGUUUCUUAUUUUCUUUGAACAUAUAGGAGAAGAAAGUGGAAGAAAACAAGGAGAAAGAGAAGAAGGAAGAAGAGAUAGUGCUAAAGGUUGAUAUGCAUUGUGAAGCUUGUGCUAGAAAAGUUGCUAGAUCCUUGAAAAGAUUCCAAGGUCUCUUUAUCCUCUAAUUCCAUUGCAUUCUUUUGGUUUUCAAUUUUUUGGCUAUUUGCUUAAAUGCAUUGCAAAAUCUUUCAAAUCCCAUUUGUUCUUUUUAUUGGUUCUAGGAGAUUUUUUUCCUUUCUAAAACAAGUCAUUAAUUUAAUAAUCUUCAUUUAAUUAUUCUAUCUCCCAUUAUCCUUUGCACGUUUUUAAAUUCAAGAAUUCAUUAACUCCCAAGCUUAACAUUUAAUACCAUGAAUGAAGAGUAUACUCCAACAAAGACAUUAACUUUAUUUUAUAUAUGAAUUUUGAUAUAAAAUGGUCAUUUAUUGUGGAUCGGACUGAGUAAUAUAUAUACAAGUAUGGUUUAGGACUUGAUAUGAUUUUAUGAGUUUAUAUACGAAACUUAAACUCGAUUUUUGAUGGUGAAAUUGGAACUAUAGGAGUAGAGGAAGUAAUGGCGGAUUACAAGGCCAGUAAGGUGGUGGUAAAAGGCAAAAAUGCAGACCCUCUUAAAGUGUGUGAAAGGGUCCAAAACAAAAGUGGCCGAAAAGUUGAACUCAUUUCACCUUUACCUAAGCCACCCGAAGAAGAAAUUAAGGAGGAAAUUAUAAAGAAAGAAGAGAAAAAAGAUGAGGUAAUUUACUUGCUACUAAUUCAUUAUUAUUUCUAUAUAUACUUGUGGAUAAUCAUCUCUGUCUCAUUAUUUGUUACUUGAACAGUGCUUUAGUUCUAUUUCUAAGUUUUGAACUCAUAAACUUUAAAUUAUACUUUUAAGUCUUGUUUGGAAAUUCAAUAUUCUGGACUACGUAGCCACUGGGCACAUUUAAUUAUAUGAAGCUUAGAUGGGACCCGGGGAGAAGUUUGACCCACAGUUGGGUUUGCAAUAUAUAGCCAGAGGUCAAGGGUCAGUCAAGGUUUUGCUGCUGCAUGACCUCUUAAUUAGGCUAAAGGAACUGAAACUGGCCAGCUCUGCCAGCCAGCAAACAAUACCCGCAUCGGAGCCCAACCAAAUCUGUAUUCGUGUCGAAAAAUUCCGCCUUGAGAUAAAUCGCUCUUUAACAACAGUGGUUCCCCACUAAGGACUCGAACUCAAGACAUCUGAUAAAGGGUGAAGGAGUACUACUUACCACUUAACCGCAACCUUAAUUUGUUGGUGAUAUGAGCACAUCUUAUAAUGAGAUGGGACCUAGGAGAAUUCACGGGAUUAACAUUCAAUAUUUGAAAUGUUUAGGGUGUUGGCUAUAUAUAUACAGAGUUUAGGAAUAGUAACAAUCACAAGACAAAUUAAAGCUUGGCUUUAUCUUGAAAAUAUUAAUGUGAAGAAAGAAAGCCUGGUUGGCGAAUGACUUAAAUUAAUAUCAUAUGAGCAACCACUUAUAAUUAGCAGGACCAAUUACCCCUGUAAUUAUUUGCGACAUGCAAAUUAUAGUUGGCUUUCCUUACCAUGAUUUGGGACAUGAAAUUAGUAUUGGAAAUGCUUUUUUGGUUGUUGAGUUACUGAUUUGGACCUAAAUCUUUACACAAAAGGAUGCCAUCAGUGUAUUAAUGAAUAUUAUAUAAUUAAUCAUUUAGUUUGUAUGUACAUUCUCUUGAAUAUACUCAGAGCUAGCUAAACGGCUGUAGUGUUACAAAAAUGAAUAAGGAUUGUCCAAAACUAUUUAAGGAGACCAAGUUACCAUAUACAAUCCGAUGUAGGACAAUUCAAUAACUAUAUGCCAAACUGAGAAACUUAAGCCGUGAAUUUAUUUUGUGUCUUGUUUCACUUGACACAAAAUAAAUUCACGGCUUAAGUUUCUUGUUUCACUUUGCCAAUCGAAGGGAACCUUGGAGCAACGGUAAAUUUGUCUCUUUGUGACCUAUAAAUCUUAGGUUCAAGCCAUGGAAUCAGUCGCUGAUGCUUGCAUCUAGGCUACCUACAUCACAUCCACUUUGGGUGCGGUCCAUCCCCGGACCCUUCGUGAUCACAUAAUAUUUUGUGCACCGAGGUGCCUUUUUUUUCACUUUGCCAAUCAUUUUUUUUAAAAAAAUUCCUUGAUUAAUUAAAUUAAUAUGGAAGUGUGAAAAAUGUUUUUUUUUUCCUGGCAGCCUCCUCCGGUAAUAACGGUUGUCUUGAACGUUCAAAUGCAUUGUGAUGCUUGUGCUCAAGCUUUGCAGAAACGGAUCCGCAAAAUUAAAGGUAUAUAUAUAUCUUACUGUUUUCACAUGUUACCUUAGUAAUCCAAAAUGGUUCAGGAGUUGGUUUUAUAACCUAGGCUACAGUAUCAAGUUAAUUGCUAUUUUGAAAAUGCAAUGCAGGAGUAGAAUCUGUUACGACAGACCUUGUAAAAAAUCAAGUAGUAGUAAAAGGUGUCAUCGACUCAGAGAAGAUAGCUAAUGAUGUUUAUAAGAGAACUGGAAAACAAGUUUCAGUUAUAAAGAAUGAAGAGAAAAAGGAAGAAACUGAGAAGAAAGAAGAAGAGAAAAAAGAUAAAGAAGAAAAGAAACAAGGUGAAGCUGAGGAAAGCAAAGGAGAAGAUGAUAACAAGACAGACAUUAAGAAAAAUGAAUAUUUGCCUGCAAAAUACUACUACAAUUAUAAUAUGGAGUAUGCUAAUUAUUCCCCUCAGAUUUUCAGUGAUGAAAAUCCUCAUGCUUGCUCUCUCAUGUAACUUUUUCAGCUAUAUAUAUGCUUUAGUUAUUGUUUAUAAACAUGAUCGAUUGACAAUUGAGUUGUUUAUUACUAUUAUUACAUCAUUUUUUGCCUUCUCACCGUGUUUUAAAUUUCAGUUUCUUGUUUGAUGAGUGUGAAGAAAAAGUGUAAAUGAAGUCUCUAAAUUUGAUAAGCGAAGAAAUCGAAAGUGAUUUGAGGCAGAACUGAAAAUACAAAUCCCUAAUUUCAGAGAAGAGAGAGAGCUUCUGUAUUAUUAUCGAAAUGAUGCCUAAAAAGUGUCGUGUACAUGUGUGGCCCUUUGUAUCUUCUUAACACAAUGAAAUGAAAUAUACAGAAAAAGAAUAACUUGAGCUUUUGACCCGAUUGGGCCUAGUUAUGAAGUUUGGUCCUGGACUAUGAAAAUAGAGAUCCAACACCCCAAAAACACGAACAUGACAUUUUUCCAGAAUCCAGACGUCAUUUAAUUGGCUGGCUUGACGAAGGCAAGAUGACAUUUAACUUGGAGGGAUAUUACACAGAAGGCAAGAUGACAUCUGUGUUACUUGACUUGGCUCAUUUGGCUAACAAUUCACUAAAAGAUGGGGAUUUGCUGUCGUUGAAUAUUCACAGAUGAGCUUUUGAACGCACUAACUUGUAACUGAGCAAGUUCCAUUCAGCUCUCGAACUAUAAUAAUCAUGGGAUUAUUAUAAUCACAGGAUUAGCAGAAGUUGCAUAGUAGAUCAGAUGAAAAACGACUUGCUAUUUUAUUAGCAGAGAAAAUUAGGCUAGUCAAAUUAUAUUAGAUUAUUAGUCAGAUCACUAAUGUCUAUAUUGAAAAGAUGUACGUACGCAAGUGGAAAAAAGCUGGACCAGGUUCAUGAGCUCAAGCCUAAGUUAACUUCCCGACGAGGAAGAAGUCUAAGAUGAAGAGGAGGAAACUUAAAGAAUGAUGAACUUAGCUAUAAUCUCUGUUUACCAAACUUCAGUUUCUCUGACUAAAAAAGAUUUAUAUCGAGGAGAGAAACUGCACAAGGAAAACCCCCAACAAGCUCUUUUCCAACUCAGAGUCAGAAAGUUUUUAGGUGAUUAAAACUGAAAAGCAAAAGAAAAUACAAAAACAAAAUCUUCAAUAAUCGACUAAUCAUGUGUGAUCUCAACAGUGCCAAAAUCGUCAUAGUUGUUUCACUACAUUUCGACAACAUAUAUAUGGAGACGUCUCCCGAACAUCAUAGCUAAAUAGCCAGUGAGACGGAAAACGAAAUACCAUUACCAAAUGAAGUUGAACAUCCAGAUACACAUAGUGACCUUCAAAUAUUUCCACAAAGUGCACAUUUGGUGAGGAUAACUAGCUCUGACUUUCUUGACCCAGUGCUUGUCGUCUUGGGUAGCUGAUAGGAGCAUAUCGAACCAUUCCUCAACAAUGUUGAAGACAUGAAAAUGAUCUUCUCAAGAUGAGACAAAGUGAGGUCAAUUGAGCCAUGGUUUAUCCGAAUCUGAGAAUUGGUUAACCAACAAUGAGAAGGAUUUGAGAAAAUUUAAAAAAUGGAGGCAUGAACAACAAAUGUAACGGAAAUGGAAGAUCAUGCCGUGGAGAAAUAUUAGGUGAUAGGCUCAGAAAGUGGAAGACAAGGAUGAGGAUAGAUUGGAUAACAAUACAGGGGUGGCAGGAUGAAGAUGGGAUAGAGGUGGAAAUAGGAUACACGGAUAUUCUCAUAUUCACCAGGAGAUCUGGUGCUGCCUCAAACCAUGGAUGGAUCAAAUGCAGGUCACACUUUCUUUCCCCGCAAAAAAACAAAGAUAUCAGCAAAACUGAACAGCUUGAUGCUAAUCUCAAACUUAGUCACUUGGGUAAAUGCCAAUUUUUGUUUGCAAGUAUUUAAUCAGCAAUGCCCUCCGUUGUACAAUGUACAGCGAGUAUGCUCAUUUUUAUCUCUGAUACUAAAUUUUCUUGUGUAAUUGAACUAUUGAUAUUAACUUCAAGAAAUAUGUGCAUGGGUAAAAACAAUGCAUAUUAUAGGAAACCAGGAUUGCAAAAUAGGAUUCUACUUUUAAAGGCUCUUCUCAGUUGACCGAAAUGCAAGAAAGGUUCCUUUGGGAAAGCAAAGAAAAAUGUUAGUCAUCACAACUCAUGGAUGGAUAUCUGUGUAUUAGACAAUGGACAUCCUUGUCAACAAAUUUACCUCAGUCAUAUUAAGAAAAGAUAUCUGCCGCUCCGGUUUUUUAUACAAAAAGCUAGUUAUGUUUGCUCCAGUAAAAUGAAAACAGUAGAUUGGUACCAAAUACUUCUGUAUGAAUAAAACAGUAACUUAUGCCACAGAAAACAUCUUCCAAGUUUUCCAUCAGUUUACUUUAGUGUUGUCCUAUGCAAGAUAUGAUUAGAUGUUAUGGUAGAAGCCAAAAUAUUAAUAUGAUUUCAUUUUUCCUCAAUUCUUUUUCUAUUGCUGAUGGCAAGAGAUACACUAGAAUCCUUAUAGGAAAGCUAACGGACUCAAAAUUCAAAACUCCCCAUCUAGAAACAAGAGCUAUCCUAAACAACGAAUAAUCUACGGAAUGUACCUUUUAUUUUUGGAUAGAAACAAGGGGAGAUCUACGGAAGGUAGCUUUCAGAUGUAAGAGUACAAAACCUCUGUAGCACAAUAAUCAUCAAGGCCAGAGAACAAAGAACCUGCCCCGUUAAGAUCCUUGAUCAAAGUAAGAGCGACAAAAUAAUCGUGGACUCCACCCAUUGCUAAGCAGCAACCACCUCUUGAGCACGUCUAGACUCCAACCAUGAUGUAGCUGCAACUUUUGUAGUCAAAAACCACCCGGCCUUAUCUGGUGCCUCAUGGAAUGGAGCGUUCAACUCCUUAAGGUGUGACUCAAAUACUCCUGCCAGACCUUUCUCAGAAUAUUUAUGUUUUCCAUGUCCUGUGUUGAUUCCAAGCAGUGAUGGGAACUCUUCCCCAUUUUCAAGCGCUUUGUUCAAGUCAUUCAUCCAGAUGUGUAAUGCUGUUAAAGCUGCCCCAAGAGAGAGGCUCUUCAACUGUAAAGACCAUUGAGUUGCAGUUCGAGAUUGAAUAUCAGCUUAGAUGUUGAGAGUUAGCCCAAUAUCUAACAACUCACAAGCUCUCUCCAGCUGAUUAAGGUUGACGCAGAUGUCAAUCAAACAGUUGCAGUAAGCUUUCUGGACAUCAGUAGUUACACAAUCCAAAAGUUCAGCAGCAUGUUUCUUAAAAAACCCUUCUUCAACAAACUCUUCAUCCACCAGGAGUUUCACCACAUAACCAAGCUUCGGAUUUGCCUUCUUAAGGCAGAUAGUCAGCUUAUGAAGAUCUUCCUUUGGUGUUUGCGUCAACACAUUAAGAAGACAACCAGUAAACCGCUCAUCUGGAGAUAAUCCCAAAUCUGACAGUCUAUCAAACGUUCUUACAACAUCAUCUGUCCGGCCUGCUUUUCCAUAACACUGGAUGAGUGAGGUCAGGACAAAGAUAUUUGGAUCAAACCCUGCUUCCAUCAUCUCGUUCAAUGUGGCCUCCGCCUCCGAGACCUUCCCACUACAGGAGUUUAUGGUGAUUAGAGAAGAGUACGUCCAACUGUCAGGUUGGCAAGUCCCUGAGGCUUUCAUCUCCUAAAAAAUGUUAACAAUCUCAUCCGUAAGUCCCACAUCAGCACACAUUGCCAGAAGAGUAUUAUAUAGCACCACACUCAGCUCCAAUCCCUUCUCCUUCAUUUCUCUAUAGAUCUUAAGAGCAUCUUCACUAUAACGAGCCCUACCAUAUGCCCGAAUGAGGGAAGCAUAGGUACCCCAACUUGGUUGGAGCCCAUUGCUUAUCAUGUCCGCAUAGAUGUUCUUCGCCUGCCAUGGCCUCUUAGCUCUUCCCAUAGCAUCCAACAAACUGUUAUACGCAGCCAUAUUAGGCCUCACACCAAGCGCUUUCAUUUCCUCGUACACAUUCAAGCACCCAUCAAAAUUCCCAGCCGCCCCGUAAAUCCUAAUCAGCGUAGCAAACGUCACAGCAUCGAUACGCCACUUCUCAGUUCUCGCACGAUCAUACAAAUUCAACGCCAUAUCUAUAUUACCAGACUUACUAUACGAAUCAAUCAUCACAGAGUAAGUAACAUCAUCGGGUUCACACCCAAAAGAAGGCAACUUUUCGAACCAUUCAAUAGCUUUUUCAGGCAAAUUGCACUGCCUAGCACAACUAAUGAUGGUAGAGAAGUUACAUUAUCAGGCUUCACCUCUCUUUGAAGCAUUUCAUCAAACAACUUCUCUGCUCUGUGGUUCUGAGUUCGAGUCGCCCAAAAAAGAAGGUGGUAAGGUCUGCGUACACACUAACCUACUCAGACCCCACUAAUGUGAUUAUACUGGGUUGUUGUUAUUGUUGUUGUUUGUUGUUAACUUCUCUGUUUUGUCCAAAUCCUUACUUUUCCUCAAAACUUUCAACGUCACGUUAUAAAUAAUCACCUCUUUGCUCAAUUUCAACCUUUGUUGAAAGUAUUUCAAAACUAAAAAUGCAGUUUCAGCAUUAGACAUGUUAUUCAAAAUCACCACAGCAUCUUGUUCUACUACUUUAUCACCCAAAGCAGCUAAAACGUUAAAAAUAUCUUCCUCUACAGGAUUACAAGAAUCCAAAGACUCAAGCCAUUUUCACUAAGGAAGCAUACCUGGAAUCGUAAGAUUUUUGCCUCAACUGAGAAGCUUUGGGGCUUUGGGGAUUGACCCAGAUGUAGCUACUUUUUGAGGAAGAUGCGGUUUUUCGGGAAUUAGUGGGAUUUAAGAUGUCGGAUUGUUCUUGUAAUGAGACAUGGGUUGUUGUUAAGGUAACAGAUUUCGAGUGAAGAAGCUUAUUGUUGAGGGGGAAGUUGAGGUUUUGGAGAGAAGUGAAGUUGGUGUUGGAUUCGUAGAGACGAGACAAUAGUGUAGAGCAUGGAGUAGACGCCAUUUUCACUUGGGAAAAGGUAAAAUAUACUCUAUGCUUUCGAAAUUUGUUUAAAUAUAAUAUUCUUGAGUCCAAAUAUAUUUGUGUCGCUAUAUAUUUGGUUCAAAUAUAUCACCGUUUAAACAAAAUAACACAUGUAAUUAUUCUAUUGGCCAAUUUUAAAUAUUUUUUAAUUAAUUAAAAAGACUCAUACCCAUUAACCAUACCGAAAAGGCAAUGUUUUUGUAAAACUUUUAAAUAAACUUAAUUUUUUUACUAAAAAAUAAAAAAACGAAAAUAUUUUUUUUCCAGAUCUUACAAAAAUAUUUUUUUUAAAAAACUGAAAAAGAAUUUUCUAAACAAAAAAAGGUCCAAAAAUACCCUUGAACUAUCGAAAAUAGCUCAAUUAUACCCCUAUUUGCUUUUGGUACCAAAAAUACCCUCGCUCGUCACUCUUUGGGACCACAAGUGCCUCACACCUAAUAGAUGGCCACACGAGCCUUUUGGACUUGUUUAAUAAUAUAAAUAAGUUGAUAUGACAGUCAAACAUGGCAAAACACCUUCUUUAGUUGCAUUUAUAAUUGUAGUCCUAAGAUUCCAACUCACUUUUGCAAGAACUAUUUUCAACUAUUCCGUAGUUGUAUGUUGUAUUAUUAUGACAAGUUGAAAGCGGUGUAAUUCCAAUAAUUUAUUGUUAUUGCAAGUUGUCCAUUUGUAGAUAUAAUAAUUAUAUGGUUCUCUAUUAGUUGUUGUUAUGGUUGGAUAAAAAUGUAGCCGCAAAAAUAGUCUAAAGAACAAUAGUAAUAAUGGAGAAAAAAAUGGACGAAACUAGCAAUAAAACCAUAUCAAAAUAAUAUAGCAAAACUUGUCAAGAAAUGACCAAAAUAGCAGCAAAAUUAGCCCAAAAUCUACAGGAAAAUCGGACUAAUAAAGAGGCAAGACAACAACAAAAUUGAACCAAAAAAUACAACAAAACUACAUAAAGAGUAGACUAAUUUCAAUAGCAACAGUGGACCAAAACUGCACACAUUAAAUAUGUCUUAAAUUUGAGAGUUUUUAUUGGCUUUCUUAGACUUCAACUUCCCAACCUUCUUCUCCCUUGCCACUUCCAACUGAUUGCCAAUGAUCGCUCCUUUACCUUUCCAAUUGAGCCUAAGGGGUGAGUAUGGAAGAUUUGUGGGUUCACAAACACUAUUGUUGUCUCCUCUAAACAGAUCACCCUUGUCCCAGAUGGAUUUUGUGGAGAUUGCCUUAUGUGCAGUUUUUUUUAGCUUUAGAAAUAAUUUUAGGCAUCAAACAUAAGUCACUUUCAGGCCCUCUAAGAGGUCCAAAGGGUUCUGAUUGUUGUCUCUGAACUCUAGGCAUGGGAAUGAACACAAAUUCACCAUCUUGUGUUGGUUGAGGUGUUGAACAACCAACAUCUUCAACUACUUCAGGUUCUUCAACUUCAGAUUCAAUGACUUCUUCAAUAUUGGCCUUUUUUCUCUUAGUUUGUUUCUUGCCUUUUCCACUAUCAUCAACCUAUAAUUAACAUGCAAAAUUAUUAGUUAUACAGUUAAAAUCUUAUAAGUGAAUCUAUAUGAUAUAGUAGUUACCUUGCAUGUCCUUGAAUUAUGGUCCAAUGAUCCACAAUUAUUGCAUGUCAUUCUAGUUCCCUUCCUUGAUUGAGCCUACUCUCCUUGACUCUUACACGCUUCAUCUUUCUCUCUAUUUCUUUUAACCUUUGGCCUUCCAACUGUUUUCACAAGUGCAUGUGGUUCCAGAGCAUGUUCUGCUAACACUUUCCAAAACUUUUCACCUCUAACAGGCAUGAGCUUGACCUUAUAUGUCAUAAGGUAAGCCUCUUUGCUCUAACGUGAUCACGCCCAAUUAUGCCUUAUAAAAAGGACUAAGCGGUCACUGCAAAUAUAAUCUGGUUCAAGUCCGGAGUCGAAUCCCACAGGGAACUAACCUAUAUACUACAACUUUUAAUAAUGCUAAUGAUAAGCUCAGACAAUUUUCGGAUGCAAAAUUUUUAAUAGAGCAUAAGUGAAAUUUAUUUAUCUAAUGAAAAAUGAUAACAAAAUUAGCAAUAAUCAAGAAUAAGGUUGAAUUCAAAGGUUAAAAGGAUCUAGGGCUAUUGAUUUCCCCAAUUGUCAGAAUAAUUCCUGACACGUUAGCUAUAAUCUCACCAUAAUACUCUAUGAGGAUUAUGAGUGCCGCGCUACCGUAAUUAUCUCUUGAUCAAUUACGAUAAUUUACUAGAAGCAUUCUCUCGAACUACUCUAGUUAACAAUUUAUGCAACUCAGAAUUAUCCAACCAAAGCUUCGUUAUCUCUAACCCUGCUUUUAAAUUCAAGUAAUUAAUCUCUUAACUUACCCGAAAGUGGUGUUGUUCAACAACAAUCUAACCAAGUGUUCUUUCUCAAGCAACACAUGGUAACUAGAUACGAUUAAUCAAGGGCCCUUUCAAUUAAUCACAACACAACACAUAGUUGAACAAUCACAGAAUAAGAACGGCUCAAUUAUAUCUAAACAUAGUCAAAACUUUAUCCAACAAUUGGUUCCAUCAAUCCUAGAUGAUGGGUUUAGCUACUCAUACUAAUGGAUAAAAAUUUACUAUAACAAUUCAUAAUCAAUAAUGGAAGUAAGAAGAAGAAGAUAAAAACUCUUAGGAACUUCUCUGUCUUCUCUCUUUUGUUCUUGCCUCCAAAACCUCCUAAAAAUAGCUCUCCCUCUCUUCUGGGCGAAUUAGGCUUCAUAUAGGUUUAGGUUAGUCGCCUUAGAAAUUGCAUAAUUGCCCCUGAGUUGUUGGCUUCCGUCCGUGGCUGCGGAUUCGAUCGCGGAUCCGGCCGCGGAUUUUAGCCAGUGUUCUACCUCCAAUUCGCGGUCAACUCCGUGGCCGCGCACCUGGAGGGUACCUCCCCAUUUGCUUUUCUCGCUCCUUUUCGACUGGGCUAACCUUCGAUUGGCCUUCCACACUCCAUAUUGUCUCCAAAAUACUCAUUAGCUUCCUCCUAACUCGGAGUGGCUCCUGCAAAGCAUAAAUUCCNNNNNNNNNNNNNNNNNNNNNAACCAUUGCUCGUCCCCGAGCAAUCAAACCACACUCUACAAAGGCCUAAUUUCAUAAGCGACUUCCAUAACUCGUCACACCAAGAAUAUAUCACAUAGUUUGAGUAUACAUUAGUGUAACAUCUAUACCUCAAGAGUAGACUCUCGCGAGCCACGGAAUAUUCCUAACCGGCUUACUUACUCUAUUCCGAGGUCCAGACUUGCCUCUCCUUCGUGAAUCAAGUGCCUGCUUACUACAAAAGAGACUCAUUCCACAAUCAAUAAAAUUCACGCACACUGAGGAACUUCAAAAUAAACAGAAUUCACUCACCCUCAGAAAUGAUAUUCUUGUGCCACAAAAACGCUCCAUAGGCUUGCCCGUAGCGUACUACUCUACUAAUUGAGCUUGUUCAAUCUAGGAUCAAGUAGGACUUUAUUUUGUUGUAAUGUAGGCUGCAGGUCGGGUAGGAUAUAUUUGGAUGUAAUAGUGACUAUACCUCCCCAAGCACUUUAAUACAUAUAUUUUAUAAUCAAACCCACACUUAAGUUAAACCAAUAUUUCCACCUUCAACACCACGUAAAUUACCCCACACUUCUUUGAGCACAAUCACCUUAAAAGCUACCACAUAAUAUUAUUAAUCAUCAUGAUACACUAUUAACACACGAUAUAUUUUUUUUCAACACGGUGCACCUUUCUCCUGAUUUCCCUAGUUCCAUUAAAAAGGCCCAUCAACUACCCCACACUUUAUCCUUCAUAGAUUCAUAGUAAUUCAAGUGCUUACGAGAGGUAAAUAGUUCAAAAAGAUGGUCAAUUCAAACAAGGGAUAAGACUUGUAAUGUGGUUGCCAAGGAAACAUGAUUACAUGCUCAACAGGGUUAACUACGAUACAUAACAAAUAGGUGGGUGGAAUAUGUAUAUAUAUAGUUCAACAAAGAAAUACCUAGAUCACUUUCCAGACUAAACAAGACUACUAUUUUGCUUUGCAGACACACAGGGCAAGUUUUAGGCAUCAAAUAUCGUGCCCAAAAUACAACAAGCCUCACACACACAUGGCACAUGACUCACUCCGUAUCGGAUCAUCAAACACUUAGAUCAUAGUACUUAAGCCAAAUUAAGAACAUACAGUUUAAGGCAUUCUUACAAGAGUCAACAAAUGAGCCUAAGCGUCACACUAAGUACCCGUUAUAUUCAAGGCAUUACGAAGUUAAGAGAUACUAUUCUAAUCAUGCCCAUAGCCCAUAAGUUCCUAACUAAAAAAUAAAAAUUAACUACACCAGGUUCAAAUGCAACCCUUAGAAAAGAACCGUGGUUUAAAAAAAAUCAAGGGGGAAUUGAUACACUACUACAAAAGAAAAUCCACGCUCACCGCACCAUUUUUUUUUUCUCUUUCGACUUUAGUCCCUCAAGAAACCCGUCGAAUGAUAUCCAUCAUCGGGACAAGUCAAAAAUAAUUUAUGUAAAUAAACUACGAAACUAUUCUACAUACAACAUAUACCAAAGCAUCCCCCACCCCACACUUAAAAAGAUGGCAUGUCCCCAUGUCAUAUAAAAUAAAGUAAUGCGAGGUAAAGGAACUUCCCUGGUGGAUCAGUCUUGAUCGGAGAUAGUGCCAGGGUUGAGAUGACAUGCCCUCCCCAGCGCACGCAGACAUCCCAUGAUUUUCUUCUCUGACUUUGCAUUUUGGGUGGCCAAGGCAUCAACUCUUGUGAUGACCCAAAAUGUCAUCUUUAAAUUUAAUAAGUAAUUCUAUGUUUCAAGACCUCGAAAAGUACCAUUUAUCAUUCCUCGACUUGCGUCCAUAGUCCGUAAAAUUUUUUGAAAAGUUUUCAUGUGAAAAAUAAUUAAAAUGUGAAAUAGAGCUUUAAAACUCAACUAAGUUGACUUUGGUCAACAUUUUGAGCAAACGAAUCUGGAUCAGUGUUUUGAAAAUUCCGGUAGGUCCGUAUCAUGAUUUGGAACUUGGACGUAUGCCCAGAAUCGAAUUCCGAGGUCCCUAGCCCGAGAUAUGGAAUUUUGAUAAAAAAUUAAAAGCUUUAAAGCUUAAUGAUUUCUAAGAACUUACUAAUGUUGGAUUUAUUGACCUCGAAUCCGUAUUUUGGUUCCGCAGCCCAGUAUAGGUCCACUAUAAU